rnacentral:rRNA from 1 species
UCUAACAUGUGCGCGAGUCAUUGGGACUUGUAAAGCCUAAAGGCGCAAUGAAAGUGAAGAUCGUCUCUACGUCGAUCGAGGGAGGAUGGCUCGUGUCUAGAUGCGAGCCCGCACUCCCGGGGCGUCUCGUGCUCAUUGCGAGCUGAGGCGCACCCAGAGCGUACACGUUGGGACCCGAAAGAUGGUGAACUAUGCCUGGUCAGGACGAAGUCAGGGGAAACCCUGAUGGAGGUCCGUAGCGAUUCUGACGUGCAAAUCGAUCGUCGGAACUGGGUAUAGGGGCGAAAGACUAAUCGAACCAUCUAGUAGCUGGUUCCCUCCGAAGUUUCCCUCAGGAUAGCUGGCACUCGCUAGAGCGAGUCUCAUCUGGUAAAGCGAAUGAUUAGAGGCCUUGGGGCCGAAACGACCUCAACCUAUUCUCAAACUUUAAAUGGGUGAGAUCUCUGGCUUGCUUGAACGUUGAAGCCACGAGAUUUUUGCAAUGGAUCAGAGUGCCAAGUGGGCCAAUUU